UACGUAGGGUGCAAGCGUUGUCCGGAAUCAUUGGGCGUAAAGCGCGCGUAGGUGGCUUCGUAAGUCCGUUGUGAAAGUCAAAGGCUCAACCUUUGAAAGCCGAUGGAUACUGCGAAGCUAGAGUACGGAAGAGGCGAGUGGAAUUCCUGGUGUAGCGGUGGAAUGCGCAGAUAUCAGGAGGAACACCAAUAGCGAAGGCAGCUCGCUGGGACGUUACUGACACUAAGGCGCGAAAGCGUGGGGAGCGAACAGG
rnacentral:rRNA from 1 species